CACCUCAAAUUAUAAGUUGGUCAAUGCGAAGCGGGCAAAAUGACUUGGCCGCCAUACAUAUCUCAAGGUUCAUUUCAAAUGAAAAGCAUAGCGUCGCCAAACAGGAUGAUUGAUGUACGAUAAACGAACAUGAGGUUUGAUUUACUAAACACUGCCAGCAUUCUUCAAUGAUAAUAGAGGUAUGGUAAACCGCAUCCAAGGUAUGGCCACUUGACAGAAUUCUAGGGAAUUUUCCAAAACGGAUUUGAAUUUGUGCCAAAAUUUGGUAAGUGUUUGUGUCUCUCCAGCAAAAGUGGUUGAAAAUUGAUUUCUAAAUUUCAUGCGAAAAAAAUAUGGUCUAGAAAUGAAUUUAGAUUUACUCAUGGUAAGAGAAAGAACUCUUCGGAAGCAGACAAUAAAAUAAACAAAGCUAAUGAAAUGAUUUUAUGAUGAGCUGAGAAAGGUAAGGCUGAGUGCAGAAGAGAAGGAGAGAGAGAGGGGGAAUUGCAAUCAAACUCACCUUAGGAAAGGUAAAACUUGAAGUUACCGCGAGUAAGAGAGUUGCCAUUGUGCAGAUCUACGAACAUAGAAUAGACUCUGUGACUGAUUUUUAAGUGAGGUUGGGAAUAAAAAAAAUAAAUAAAAAAUGGAUAUGGCAAACAAAUACGUAAAAUAAAUAAUAAACAUAUAUAAAAUUAAGUAAAAUAAAAUAAUUGAAUUUAAACAAGCUAAACCGUGUAAAAUUCGGCCGUGUCGAACUUCGGAUACCCACAACCAUAAAUAUAUAAAUCAUCCUACUUUAUUAUAACUCCACUACCAUAUUUAUAGUUAUAUGCAAGUAGGAGCUGGUCUGGAUCAUAUUUGUGGCAGCUCCCGAUAACUUUAUUCAAGUUACAGUUUCAGAGAAAUUGGGAUUAGAUCCUAAAUUGGAAGAUUGGUCUAAAUGUCAGCUUUAUCUUAACAUAGUCUGAACUGGAUCCUAUGCUGGUCGGAUGAUGGGAGCCUUAAUAAAGGGUGAUUUUUUAGCUAUUAUCUUUUUGGCAACACUUGUUUAAACAGCUCAGACACGUUUCGUGUUUUGUUUCACUGUCAAACAUCUUCAGUUUGGUCUUCAAUUGAACCAUAAAUCCUCCUACAAACGAACUACGCUUACAAAUUAUUGAAUUUUAUUAUCAAAAUGCGUGCUCUGUUAAGAGCACGAAAAUCAUUUUUGGCUCAAUGGGUGCAUAAAUAAGCAGAAUUGUCAAUUUUGGAGCGAAAAUCAGCCAGAAGCAUUGCAAGAGCUACAAAUACAUCUAGAAAAAGUACCAGUUUGGUGCGGUUUAUGGGCUGGUGGCAUCGUUGGGCCGUACUUCCAAAGAUGAUGCGAAUCGUAACGUAACUGUGAGCACUACCGGGAGAUGAUAUGAUAUGACUUGAAAUGACAUGAAAUGAAAUAACAUGAUAUGAUAUGGCAUGACAUGACCUGACCUGAUAUGCAAAUUGCAAAUAUUGCCCAUGAAUAUUCCACUAAGGAACGGGGGCAAACUUCUCACAUAUCAAUCAGUGCUGUCCGAUUCAAGUUUGAGCUCAAUGAUAAGGGACCUCCUUUUUAUAGCCGAGUUCGAACGGCGUGUCGCAGGGCGACGAGAGAAGUUUUACAUGGCAUAGUACCUCACAAAUGUUGUCAGCGUUAGGAGGGGAAAAGUACCAAAACAAAUAAAAGAGUGCUAAGUUCGGCCGGGCCGAAUCUUGGGAAUCUUAUUCUAAAUAACAAACGUCUGUCAAACAAGCAAAAAUUAAAGCUUCUAGGAACCGAACA